UACGUAGGGGGCAAGCGUUGUCCGGAAUCAUUGGGCGUAAAGAGCGUGUAGGCGGCUCGAUAAGUCUGCUGUGAAAGUCCAGGGCUCAACCCUGGAAGGCCGGUGGAAACUGUCGGGCUAGAGUCCGGAAGAGGCGAGUGGAAUUCCCGGUGUAGCGGUGAAAUGCGUAGAUAUCGAGAGGAACACCUGAGGUGAAGACGGGUUGCUGGGCUGACACUGACGCUGAGGCGCGAAAGCCAGGGGAGCAAACGGG
rnacentral:rRNA from 1 species